rnacentral:rRNA from 1 species
AGGACGAACGCUGGCGGCGUGCCUAAUACAUGCAAGUCGAACGGUCUUUCUAUGGAAGCUUGCUUCACUGAGAGAUAGUGGCGAACGGGUGAGUAACACGUGGGUAACCUGCCCAUAAGAGGGGGGAUAACAUCCGGAAACGGGUGCUAAUACCGCAUAGUUUCUUGAUCGCAUGAUCGGGAAAGGAAAGACGGCCUUUGUGCUGUCGCUUAUGGAUGGACCCGCGGCGUAUUAGUUAGUUGGUGAGGUAACGGCUCACCAAGACGAUGAUACGUAGCCGACCUGAGAGGGUGAUCGGCCACAUUGGGACUGAGACACGGCCCAAACUCCUACGGGAGGCAGCAGUAGGGAAUCUUCCGCAAUGGACGAAAGUCUGACGGAGCAACGCCGCGUGAGUGAAGAAAGGUUUUCGGAUCGUAAAACUCUGUUGUCAGAGAAGAACAAGUUGGAGAGUAACUGCUCCAGCCUUGACGGUAUCUGACCAGAAAGCCACGGCUAACUACGUGCCAGCAGCCGC